GUGCUGGUGUCAGCAGUAUUUGCAAUAAAAUUGGAAGGAUACAGAGGUCAGCAUGACACCUGUGUAAGGAGGGUGCUCAAAGCGUGAGGCAUUUGAUCCUUUU
rnacentral:snRNA from 1 species